GAUCAAGGCGGCCGCGGCGCCUCUCGCGCGCUGAGCCGCGGGCGCCCGGCGGGCACCGGGAGCGGCUCCCGGGGCGGGCGGCGACCCCCGGCCAGCGACCGGCCCGCGGCCACCGCCCGCCUGCCACCCACCCACCGACCGACCGUCCGAUCGCGGCGGUGGCGACCCCGACGCCGUGCAGGGAUCUCUGCAGACAGAGCUGCUGUGUUCACCUGGGAGCUGUUAGACCUCUGCAAAACAAGAGAUCUUGCCAAGGAGCUACGUGGGACAACCAAUGUUUCCCUUUGGUCCUGGUUGCUGCUGCAACAGCCUUGUGUGAGUAAGGGCUGGGGUGGAUUUGGUGAAGGUGUGUGUUUGCAGCUCCUGCCCACCCUCCUCCUCCCCUUCCCCUCUCUGUCCUGGGGCAGAGCACGACCAGUGGUCUCCUGGGAAUGAAAAUGUUCAGGCUUCUUAGAGAUGCAGAGUGAAAUGUUUAUAUGAGAGACCAUGUCAGCAGCUGCAUGUUUUAUCCAAGCAAGCAAGUCCAGAAAUGUUUAUAGAAACUGGCAGCACUAAAUCGGGACAGUUGGUCACUAAUCUUUGCAAA
rnacentral:lncRNA from 1 species